AGAGUUUGAUUCUGGCUCAGAGUGAACGCUGGCGGCAGGCCUAACACAUGCAAGUCGAACGGUAGCACAGAGGAGCUUGCUCCUUGGGUGACGAGUGGCGGACGGGUGAGGAAUAUAUCGGAAUCUACCCAAUCGUGGGGGAUAACGUAGGGAAACUUACGCUAAUACCGCAUACGAUCUGAGGAUGAAAGCGGCGGACCGCAAGGCGUCGCGCGAUUGGAUGAGCCGAUAUCCGAUUAGCUAGUUGGUAAGCUUUUACCUUACCAAGGCGACGAUCGGUAGCUGGUCUGAGAGGAUGAUCAGCCACACUGGAACUGAGACACGGUCCAGACUCCUACGGGAGGCAGCAGUGGGGAAUAUUGGACAAUGGGCGCAAGCCUGAUCCAGCCAUGCCGCGUGUGUGAAGAAGGCCUUCGGGUUGUAAAGCACUUUUGUUGGGAAAGAAAAGCGGCCGGUUAAUACCCGGUUGUUCUGACGGUACCCAAAGAAUAAGCACCGGCUAACUUCGUGCCAGCAGCCGCGGUAAUACGAAGGGUGCAAGCGUUACUCGGAAUUACUGGGCGUAAAGCGUGCGUAGGUGGUUUG
rnacentral:rRNA from 1 species